rnacentral:rRNA from 1 species
GACGAACGCUGGCGGCGUGCCUAAUACAUGCAAGUAGAACGCACAGUUUAUACCGUAGCUUGCUACACCAUAGACUGUGAGUUGCGAACGGGUGAGUAACGCGUAGGUAACCUGCCUGGUAGCGGGGGAUAACUAUUGGAAACGAUAGCUAAUACCGCAUAAUAUUGAUUAUUGCAUGAUAAUUGAUUGAAAGAUGCUAUUGCAUCACUACAAGAUGGACCUGCGUUGUAUUAGCUAGUAGGUGAGGUAACGGCUCACCUAGGCGACGAUACAUAGCCGACCUGAGAGGGUGAUCGGCCACACUGGGACUGAGACACGGCCCAGACUCCUACGGGAGGCAGCAGUAGGGAAUCUUCGGCAAUGGACGAAAGUCUGACCGAGCAACGCCGCGUGAGUGAAGAAGGUUUUCGGAUCGUAAAGCUCUGUUGUAAGAGAAGAACGGGUGUGGGAGUGGAAAGUUCACACUGUGACGGUAUCUUACCAGAAAGGGACGGCUAACUACGUG